CGCUCUCAUCUUUAUUAGACGAUAAAAUAGCACCCACCAACUACAGCCAGAAAUAACACAAAGGUGUGUCAUGCAGAACCACACACACACGUUCAAUGUAAGAAAAGAAAUAGUAAAUUACUUAUUAUUGAGUAGUAUGCCAUCUCCCCUCCCCCACGUACAUAAAUAAAAAGCAACCGUCCAGGUUUUACCCCCUGACCUUUUUCCACAUCAGCUAAGCCCCGUUUUGCUUUUCAGCCUGUUCCUUUGUUACAUAAUCACACUCUUAGUCCAUCCUUUCAUUUCCUUCCAAGUGCUUUCCAUCACUGCCCCCGUGUCUGAAGCUCAUUCCACCUACUGGCAUGCGGGUGCUGAAGCAUUUACUGUCCUCAGCCCAGCACAGUCUUUGCUUGCAAAUGCUUUAGAUUCUUUUCGUUGGGAGAUAAACCAAGAAAUCUGCAAAUUCAUACUUAAUCUGUCAUAGCCCUGUCACCCAAUUCAAUCCUCUCCAAACAAAAUCCUUUGGUGAGAGGAAGACAAUACCCUCGUUUCAUAAAUAAUUUUUCCACCAACCUUAAUCUGCUGUCUAUGAAUAUUAAUGAGUCUCAUCGAUUCAUGUCUCCAUUUUAUGUCCGAUAUUAGACACCUUCCCAGAAAGCUAGCUGUCAAGGUUGCAAAGGAAUCUAUUUCACUUUCACAUUAAAUUAGCAAAAUAAAAAAGGGUGGCUUCUUUGGCUUAUAGAUUUCAAAAAAUACCCCUUUAGCCCUAGACUCUGAUUUCUUUUACGUUGUUCCCAAAUUACAGGGCAGUCCUUGCAGGACAGAGAGGUAGGUCAUGUCUUUUUUGUCUGUUCUGGGCAAAAAGUUGACUGGUAAUUGGUGACAGUACGAAAAUUUUCCAGAGACCCAUUAAAUGCGUUUGUUUUACCAAUCUCCAAUUCUUUGACUGCCUUUCCCCCCCCCCAUGAUUUUUGUCGAGUGUAGGUCUAAAUUCCUAUGAGAUUCUGCUUCUUUUGGCUAUUUUUACUUUAAAAUUUUCUCUAGGCAGACCACAGAUGAAGAGGGAUAGGCUGCCACUGGCCUAUGAGAAAUCCUGGUGAAAAUUAAGAGUGUUCCUCUGACACACUAAUUAGAAAGCAGCAUAUGCCCUUCGGGUGGACAUUAGACACAGGAGCCCCUCUGGGUGAACACUGUCUCCGUGCCAGUAUCCAGGGUCUGGCAAGGGGAGGGUAGGCUGCCUUUUGUCAUCUGCUCCCUCUCCGCUGGGCAAUUCGGUUGUUUCUCUCUUGAAUCUUUCACACGCCUCCCUUAGCUGGUUUUUCAGACCCAGAGUUUUUGGGGACACCAGGGAUUGGUGAUCUUCCUCAAAUGCAAUUUACUUUUUUUCUUCUUUAUUCUUUUUUACAGCAUUCAUGUUAAACUCCUUAUUUAUAUGCCAGGUUUUACUGAAGUACCCUUAAUUCAUCUUUCCAUCUUUGAGCAAUUUGACUAGGAAUUUAAAUGACAUCCUUGGGUUUUUUGAUGAUGUUGUUGGUUGAUUUUUUAAUACAUGCUUUCAUAUAUUCAAAGACUUGUUUGCUGAUGGUAUUAUUUGUUGCUUAAACGACAAACAUAUGGCCAGCUGCCAGAGGAGCAGUGUUAUUCAGGCGGGUCCAGGAAAUCUGCUCUAGGUCUGACUAUACCCUUCCUUCCUUACCACUCAUGCCUGAAAUGCUACCUUAAAGCCACAUCCUUUUAGACUAAGUACAGCCCUGUUGCGAUGUACUACAGUUGAAAAGAACUAGGUAGACCAUGUCGGUCAUUGACACUUUAGUGAGAAUUAGUUUAUCAAAUCCUAUCCCAAAGGCAGCUAUGUAAGAGAAGAAAGAAGGAUUUGGGUAUAUAAUGUAAAAACCCCCUAGUUAGAAGCUCUGGCUAGGCUAGCAGUAUACACCUUGGUCAUUUUGAGAGAUCCCUCAGAGAACAAGGGACAUGGAAGUCAUGUCCCUGCCUUUGCCAUGUCUUUGUCUAGGGUAAUCCCAGGGUAAAUUAAGAGAUUUAAUUUGGUAUCAACUGUUCAACAGUACUGAUGGUUCCCAAUGUGACUAAGGGUGGGACUCUUGUUAACUUGUUGGAACAGCUGAGAACUCAGGUUCCUUCCUUUGGCUUAUACCAAUCACUCUCUGUUUUGACCUUGACCUUUGGUGCGUGUAUUGAACUUCUUGAAAGCCCCUGGCUGGUGAUAUUGGCAGAGUAGGACACACAUUUAAGGAAUUCACUUCUUACAUGAACAUGACCAUCUGUAGAAAGACUUACAGGAGACAGGUCCUAGGUGCAAAAGGAAUAUUGAAGAAAUAAGGACUUUUUAAGAUCAUUGAUCAAGUCCUGGACCUCUCAAAGUGGGCUGCAUACCACAUCGGAAGGCAUAAAGCCGUAAGUUAUGUACAAACUAAACAUGGUACAUUUUCUUAACUGUCAAUUUUACUAGAUAAUAAAAAAAUUUUAACGUUAGUUUUAAAUUAAAACAAGCUUGACUGUAUUAGGGAAUGGCAUACAGCAGCCACAGGAAUGUGAACAAGCACAGAGGAAAGUGAAUACAUGAUCACACAAAACAGAUCUGAGAUCUUAGAGAUACUCUAGGUCUGCAUUUUCAGAAAUGAUUAUGUAUAGAAACCGGCAGAACUUCUAAUGAAACUUCAAAACAAUUCUGCUGCUUUGUCCCUUUCCAAAUGGAUUCUAGAACACUGCUAUUUCUCGAAAAUCCCUCAGGUGAUCUGAAGGGGAUGUGAAGGUGCAGCCGUUGUUCUAUCUAUGACGUAAUUCUCUACAGGAUCAGCUACAUAACCCGUGGGGCCCAGGGCAAAAUGGAAAUGCAGAGGCCUUGUUAUAAAUUAUUUAGAAUUUUAAAAUAGCAACAGCAGAGGGUUAAACCAAGCACAGCGCCCUUCUGAGUGCACUGCCCAGGGCUCAUGCCCACGAGGUCGACCCUGCCCCUUAAGAGCCUGAAGGGUGUAUGCAGCGCUACAGCCAUCCUCGCAGAGCCUCUCCCCCAGGAAGAGGGAGGAACCACGCCUUCUUCCCCAUGUCCUAGUUUAUGGGACCAGGUUAUAAGCAUACACACACACACACACACCUGGACAGGUAGUUCAGAGAUGCCCCCUGGGAGAAGUGCUCAGCAGAGAUUAAAUGAAGGUUUUUUUCUAGUGUAAAAGCAUGUUUGCUUCAAGUUGAGAUGAAACUGUCACCUUUUGACUCUAACCUACAUUAGCUGGAUUUUAAAUUCUAGUUUAUGCUUUUCCCCCAAAUCACACCCUCCGCCCCAUUCCUACAUAAUUUCUCAUACUUGGGGCUGUCCUCUCCUGGAGGGGGAGCGCACACUCCCUGCCUGGACAGAGACCUCCGUGAGGGGCAGGAGCAGACGGACGUGUGUGGUCCUGAGGGGAACGCAGGGAGGGAGGACCAGGGAGGGAGGACCAGGGAGCUCUGCCGGAGGAACGGACAGUGCAUUUGUUCUCCUGAUAUUCAGCAGCCCGGCGAGGGACACGGAGUUAAUGAACCAAGGGGAGGGCGGGGUACACCAGGGAGUUCAGAGUAAGUGAAUAAAAUUCUCAGUAGAUCGCCUCUGGGAUUAAUAUGCAAGCUUUCCUCUCUCCCAGGGCUUCUUUUUGGCGAGGCUGCUAUGGAAUACUUGGGGCCAAAGACGGAGCAGAGCCCCAGAGAAAAGGCAAUGGUUCAUGUCCCCAGGAAUUUGCAUCAGACCCAGCAGACACGGCCUACAGGGUCAUAGAGGCGGUCUCCAAACCCUGGAAAUCACUGGCCAGCCAGUCCUGACGGCAAGGCCGUCAGCCCAGGCGGGUCUGCGGAGAGACCAGGUGUGGUCCUUUUAUGAGGACCGUCACUUCCCUGAUCAGCCUUCUUCAUGCCCGACCCUUGGCUGUGUCUGACUUCUACAGGCUCACCCCUAAUGUCUAAAGGCUGUCUCUCCAUCCAGAACUUUAUGAAAAUGGCCAAGCGUUCACUGAGACUUUAGAAAAGCCAUAGGAUGGAAGACACCAUAAGCGGUUGGCUAAAUACCUAACUGUAGGCCAUGCACAUGUACAGCUAGGUGAUGACACAAAACAAGCCACAAAUCCUGCAGGAGGGUUCUGGCUACAGUGGCCAGAAUGGACUUUCAGCUCAGGGAAGGGUGGGCUCUGCUCCCACAUCUGCGUAGCUGGAGGCAAAGAACUUAACCUCUCUUAGACUUUCUCCAAGAGUUUUCUUAUUUUCCCCGAAUAAAACAGAAGUUGUAUUGACUAUGUGUUUUAUAAACUUGUCUUAAGGAUUAAAUGAGAUGGGGUAGGUAAAGGUCUUAGCAUAGAACCCAACAGGUAUUCAGUAUGCAUAUACCUAUAUGCUAUGCAGUAGGCAUAUAGCAAGUAUUCAUAACAACUAUUAUUAGCCAUGAAUCUUUUCCUUUCUGUUGCUCCCACUUUGAGAAUUAACGGAAACCUUCUCCAGGAGUGACUUAAAAAGGAGAUGUUUCUAAUCAGGUUCUGUUCCAAACUUUUAAGAUGUUCUUGUCCUAAUUUUGUGUUCUUGGCUGGUUUUCUACGCCCCACAGGUCUCCAUCCACAAAAAGCCGAACAGGCUGGGUCAGAACCAAGGCCAAUAUAUUCAUUGAAAAGACAGAUUUCUCAGCCUCUGUCUCCUGCCGUUUUCAAACAUCACACUGGGAGCUUGAAUUGAGACCGGAAUCCUGAUUCGCUCCCUGAUCAAUUUGGACAAUGCUGGACAAUGCAGCGGUCCCUUCUAUUUCUUCCAAUGUGUGUCCAGCGAAGUGACCUCAGAAUUAUGUCUCUCUGAGCCACCUUCUAGCAGCUAGAGAGAGAACUCACACAGAUCAGAACUUCUCAGGGGGCACAUGCCCCUCAAAAAUGCAUCUUUGAUUGGCACAACAUUGUAAAUCAACUACAGUUUUAAAAAGCGUGGGGGAGGGAUGCAUCUUUGAGCAUCCUGUUGCAAAAUAAGUAAGGACAAUGAAGUAUGAUUUUUUUUUUUCAACAAAGCUUUUCAUUGAAAGGAUUGUCCUCUAUGCUGAGAUUACAGUUUGCUUAUCUUAGGGUAUAAUAAUGUGCAUUUUGUGUGUGUCAAGUGCAUGCCUGGACUUGACAAAAUAAAAAGUAGGCAAACACAUGUUUCCCUGCAUUACCACUUAAUUUAAAAAAAACAAUAAUUUUACCAGCUCAUGAAAUAAAAAAGCUGGAAACACUGAUAUGGACCACCCUGGGUGUUUGGGGAAAGCAAAUAACUUCCAGAUUAGCAGCUACCUGGAACAUUUUCCCCCAGACUGUAGUCCCCUGGGCUUUUGUUGCAUAAAAUAUUUCAUGUCUCUUACACAUGUGACUAUGGCAAAUGAGGGUGAAAGGAGCUUAACGAGAGUUCAUAGGUCCCCAAUAAACCAACGGUGGACUAGUAAGGAGGACAAAAGGUCAAGUGUGCUGCCUCUACUCCCAUCCCUGAUACAACCCUGCCUUUGUGCAAAAAGGCCUGAGUCCAUUUGCUGUUGAUGCUGAUCCAGUACUUCCCAACCCUAUGUUAAUACUUUAAAAUUUUUUAAAUGAAACAUCUUUCACUAGAGCUUCAACUUCCACCAGGAUUUGUUUGGGUUUGAAAAGAUCACUUUUUUUGGUGGGGGUCCAAUAUUGUAAAUUACUCCUCUGAUCACUCUAACUAGCAGGUCCCAAACUUGGCUGCCCAUGAGGCCUCAUUGUUAAUAACAUCUCCUGAAUUAUGCAAUGUUUUGCCCUAUCCACUCAUGUUUGCCAAUGCUGCCUCAGCAAGUAUUUCUAGAACACCCUCAGAAGAGCUGAUGUGGUUCUCUGAAGCUUUCCUGGGGGUGACGUGAUGCUGCAGCCAGGCUGGGGCCUUCACACACAUGGCCCUUGUUCCAGGCCUUUCCUUCUGAGUACCAGUCUCCCUCAUCCUCUCUUCACUUCCCAGGCCUUUGUGAUUAAUUUCUGCUGC
rnacentral:lncRNA from 1 species